rnacentral:rRNA from 1 species
CCUACGGGAGGCAGCAGUGAGGAAUAUUGGUCAAUGGGCGUAAGCCUGAACCAGCCAAGUCGCGUGAGGGAUGAAGGUUCUAUGGAUCGUAAACCUCUUUUAUAAGGGAAUAAAGUGUGGGACGUGUCCUAUUUUGUAUGUACCUUAUGAAUAAGGAUCGGCUAACUCCGUGCCAGCAGCCGCGGUAAUACGGAGGAUCCGAGCGUUAUCCGGAUUUAUUGGGUUUAAAGGGUGCGUAGGCGGCCUUUAAGUUAGCGGUGAAAGUCUGUGGCUCAACCAUAGAAUUGACGUUGAAACUGGGGGUCGUUAGUAUGUUUGAGGCAGGCGGAAUGCGUGGUGUAGCGGUGGAAUGCUUAGAUAUCACGCAGAACCCCGAUUGCGAAGGCAGCCUGCCAAGCCAUGACUGACGCUGAUGCACGAAAGCGUGGGGAUCAAACAGGAUUAGAUACCCUGGUAGUC